UUACAAAUUCCGUCGUGGAAGAUUUUAAACAAAUAUUAUUGAUAAUACAGACACCUUGACAUUAAAUGAUCGCAGUAUUACGCCAUUGAGAUCGCAAACUAUGCACAGAAUAAAGGAAUCAAUAGUAUCACCCCUUAUCAUCUACAAUAAGCUUGCCACAAGUGACCAUUUACAAUGAUUUCGUGUAUGCAAGUAACCAAGCAGCAAAAGUAACUCUGGCUGGCCAGAUUACAGGCAGCACACAGGCGUAUAGCAGCGCAAAUUUGCAUGUUUACAAACAUGCAAACAUUAUUAACAUCUGCAUAACCGCCUCCGCCUUCUUUAGAAGUCCUUCAUGCAGCAACCGUACAGUCGGUGGCACGGACUACGUCAAUGAUACCGACUGUCUUGACGGUCCUCUGAGCCAUCAGCAGUGCGCGACUACGCCACCCAGGGUCAGCGCUGAUAUAUACAGGCCAGCUGAUAUUGACCACUGAUGAAAACACAGGAGAACGCGCGUCAGAACAAGCGACAUUAGAGCGAGGACAGUGAGACGAGAGGAGAGCCCCACAUGGCCCACGUCUGGCAGAGCCACACGCGGAGCAGCAGUAGGGCUGACCAGGAGAAGCAUCACGUGAUCCUGCCAGAGCUGCAGACGGACUAGCAGAUCGGCAGCGCACGGAGCGGAGUGCGGCCGGGCCUUCACCGUAUCCUUCAACGGACCGCGGCUAGCGAAACCUACGCCUGUGUUACAGUUUCGCCUGCUCCGCAUCAAGAAUAUACGCCUUGCGACUGGCUAAAAGAACAACACAAGAUCGCUUUGGCCGUCCGAGAGGUGCCGAGGGCUCUUGCAGUGUUGGCAAAGGCCAACAUGGCGCCCCAGCCUUGUCUGCCCCGCUACAAAGAGACUCGCUGCUGCUCUCAUCGACGUCGCAGCCGUGCAGUGCAUCUUGAAGGCUAGCUGGACCAUGGAGCUUAUCUUUAGGUGGGCAAAUGCAUGUCAAAAUUAUGUUGUAGAUAGAACACAACAAAGUUUAAUUUGGUAGCCAGCAUAUGAUGGCUUGUGUUACCAACUUAAUUCUGCAAGCAGCAGUGUACUUCCCCCAUUCCUACUUUGUGGUAUGUUGCUGUAUACUGUGACAGGAGAGCAUAACAAUACAUGGUCCAUUAGUUUUCUGCUCAUCAUUAAUUUGGAAGUAUUUCUUGCAGCACUAUUUAAAAUUGUGCUGUAAAACAGUGUUUCAUGCCACAUAAAUAUCAUCACAGAGCAGGGGCUUUGUACUGAAUUAUGACUCACUGCAUACUAUGACAUCUGAGCCUUGUGCCUCACUGCACAAGGCUCAGAUGUCAUGCCACCGUGUUACUGUGUUGUGUUACUGGGUUCAGUCUAGUGUAACUUGUGUAAGUAUAUACCUAUUCCCUCUCCAUUCAGCAUUCUUAGCAUCAAAGGAGGAAAAAAAAAAAUGUUCUCAUAAUAUGUAUAAGCAGACUUGCCUGAAGUCGACCUCUCCUUCUUCACACCAUGGAUUUUGAUAAGGGGAAGUGGCUUAUACUUAUUUUAGUGUAAUACAGUACCAGCACCUAAUCCUUAUAGAGUUGCUUUUAGAUAAUUUGAUUUGAAAUUCUGACUGCAGGUGCAAUUUCUUUUGGCAGUAUAUGUACACACAAAGCUAAUCUUUUAUGCCUUGUUCUGCAAUCAUUCACUACCUAGUCUAAAUUCACUAAGGUAAUGCUUUGUGCUUUAUUCCAUGGCUAUUAAAUGCCACUAUUUCUUAGUACAAGGUUUGCUGUUGUUGAUGCAUCACCUAACUUGUGCAUCUAGGUAAGGCAAGAACAUUUAGAGCGGAAAGUGAGUCAGAUGUGUUGGUACUGCAAGUUUUGUUUAGUGUAUAUAUAGUGUAUCGUUAUACCUGCAUUAACUGAAAGGCUGGAACGCUUUGAAUGGUCCUGUGUGAGAUUAUAGCAUAAUGUUUUCCUUAGAUACGCUCCUGCAGUGUAUAUAGUUCAGCUAUGUUGUAGAAGAAUUUGGGAGUUGUUUAUGGCGCUAUACAGAAAAAAUGUCAAAACAGCAACUAAUGUGAACCAUUAAUCAAAUUCAAAGUUGUAUGUGUGUACUAGAAUGACAGCUAUAUUGGUUGCAAUUACACUUGCUUUCAAAAAUGUGCUGCCUUCAUUGUGGCUGACAUUAAAGGAGGUGUUAACAUCCUUUACAAAA
rnacentral:misc_RNA from 1 species